rnacentral:rRNA from 1 species
AUUGAACGCUGGCGGCAGGCCUAACACAUGCAAGUCGAGCGGGGUUUUCGGACCUAGCGGCGGACGGGUGAGUAAUGCGUAGGAAGCUGCCCGAUAGAGGGGGAUACCAGUUGGAAACGACUGUUAAUACCGCAUAAUGUCUACGGACCAAAGUGUGGGACCUUCGGGCCACAUGCUAUCGGAUGCGCCUACGUGGGAUUAGCUAGUUGGUGAGGUAAUGGCUCACCAAGGCGACGAUCUCUAGCUGGUUUGAGAGGAUGAUCAGCCACACUGGAACUGAGACACGGUCCAGACUCCUACGGGGGGCAGCAGUGGGGAAUAUUGGACAAUGGGCGCAAGCCUGAUCCAGCCAUGCCGCGUGUGUGAAGAAGGCCUUCGGGUUGUAAAGCACUUUCAGCGAGGAGGAAGGGAUGUAUGUUAAUAGCAUACAUUUUUGACGUUACUCGCAGAAGAAGCACCGGCUAACUCUGUGCCAGCAGCCGCAGUAAUAC